GGGGCCAUAGCUCAGCUGGGAGAGCGCCUGCCUUGCACGCAGGAGGUCAGGAGUUCGAUCCUCCUUGGCUCCA
rfam:Alligator_sinensis, whole genome shotgun sequence